UGGGGUGACUGCGUACCUUUUGUAUAAUGGGUCAGCGACUUAUAUUCUGUAGCAAGGUUAACCGAAUAGGGGAGCCGGAGGGAAACCGAGUCUUAACUGGGCGUUAAGUUGCAGGGUAUAGACCCGAAACCCGGUGAUCUAGCCAUGGGCAGGUUGAAGGUUGGGUAACACUAACUGGAGGACCGAACCGACUAAUGUUGAAAAAUUAGCGGAUGACUUGUGGCUGGGGGUGAAAGGCCAAUCAAACCGGGAGAUAGCUGGUUCUCCCCGAAAGCUAUUUAGGUAGCGCCUCGUGAAUUCAUCUCCGGGGGUAGAGCACUGUUUCGGCAAGGGGGUCAUCCCGACUUACCAACCCGAUGCAAACUGCGAAUACCGGAGAAUGUUAUCACGGGAGACACACGGCGGGUGCUAACGUCCGUCGUGAAGAGGGAAACAACCCAGACCGCCAGCUAAGGUCCCAAAGUCAUGGUUAAGUGGGAAACGAUGUGGGAAGGCCCAGACAGCCAGGAUGUUGGCUUAGAAGCAGCCAUCAUUUAAAGAAAGCGUAAUAGCUCACUGGUCGAGUCGGCCUGCGCGGAAGAUGUAACGGGGCUAAACCAUGCACCGAAGCUGCGGCAGCGACGCUGAUGCGUUGUUGGGUAGGGGAGCGUUCUGUAAGCCUGUGAAGGUGUGCUGUGAGGCAUGCUGGAGGUAUCAGAAGUGCGAAUGCUGACAUAAGUAACGAUAAAGCGGGUGAAAAGCCCGCUCGCCGGAAGACCAAGGGUUCCUGUCCAACGUUAAUCGGGGCAGGGUGAGUCGACCCCUAAGGCGAGGCCGAAAGGCGUAGUCGAUGGGAAACAGGUUAAUAUUCCUGUACUUGGUGUUACUGCGAAGGGGGGACGGAGAAGGCUAUGUUGGCCGGGCGACGGUUGUCCCGGUUUAAGCGUGUAGGCUGGUUUUCCAGGCAAAUCCGGAGAAUCAAGGCUGAGGCGUGAUGACGAGGCACUACGGUGCUGAAGCAACAAAUGCCCUGCUUCCAGGAAAAGCCUCUAAGCAUCAGGUAACAUCAAAUCGUACCCCAAACCGACACAGGUGGUCAGGUAGAGAAUACCAAGGCGCUUGAGAGAACUCGGGUGAAGGAACUAGGCAAAAUGGUGCCGUAACUUCGGGAGAAGGCACGCUGAUAUGUAGGUGAAGCGACUUGCUCGUGGAGCUGAAAUCAGUCGAAGAUACCAGCUGGCUGCAACUGUUUAUUAAAAACACAGCACUGUGCAAACACGAAAGUGGACGUAUACGGUGUGACGCCUGCCCGGUGCCGGAAGGUUAAUUGAUGGGGUCAGCGCAAGCGAAGCUCUUGAUCGAAGCCCCGGUAAACGGCGGCCGUAACUAUAACGGUCCUAAGGUAGCGAAAUUCCUUGUCGGGUAAGUUCCGACCUGCACGAAUGGCGUAAUGAUGGCCAGGCUGUCUCCACCCGAGACUCAGUGAAAUUGAACUCGCUGUGAAGAUGCAGUGUACCCGCGGCAAGACGGAAAGACCCCGUGAACCUUUACUAUAGCUUGACACUGAACACUGGUCCUUGAUGUGUAGGAUAGGUGGGAGGCUUUGAAGUGUGGACGCCAGUCUGCAUGGAGCCGUCCUUGAAAUACCACCCUUUAAUGGCUGGUGUUCUAACGUAGGCCCCUUAUCGGGGUUGCGGACAGUGUCUGGUGGGUAGUUUGACUGGGGCGGUCUCCUCCUAAAGAGUAACGGAGGAGCACGAAGGUUGGCUAAUCCUGGUCGGACAUCAGGAGGUUAGUGCAAUGGCAUAAGCCAGCUUGACUGCGAGCGUGACGGCGCGAGCAGGUGCGAAAGCAGGUCAUAGUGAUCCGGUGGUUCUGAAUGGAAGGGCCAUCGCUCAACGGAUAAAAGGUACUCCGGGGAUAACAGGCUGAUACCGCCCAAGAGUUCAUAUCGACGGCGGUGUUUGGCACCUCGAUGUCGGCUCAUCACAUCCUGGGGCUGAAGUAGGUCCCAAGGGUAUGGCUGUUCGCCAUUUAAAGUGGUACGCGAGCUGGGUUUAGAACGUCGUGAGACAGUUCGGUCCCUAUCUGCCGUGGGCGCUGGAGAACUGAGGGGGGCUGCUCCUAGUACGAGAGGACCGGAGUGGACGCAUCACUGGUGUUCGGGUUGUCAUGCCAAUGGCACUGCCCGGUAGCUAAAUGCGGAAGAGAUAAGUGCUGAAAGCAUCUAAGCACGAAACUUGCCCCGAGAUGAGUUCUCCCUGACCCUUUAAGGGUCCUGAAGGAACGUUGAAGACGACGACGUUGAUAGGCCGGGUGUGUAAGCGCAGCGAUGCGUUGAGCUAACCGGUACUAAUGAACCGUGAGGCUUAACCUU
rnacentral:rRNA from 1 species